rnacentral:rRNA from 1 species
UGGCGGACGGGUGAGUAACGCGUGGGUAACCUGCCUUAUACAGGGGGAGUAACGGUCAGAAAUGGCUGCUAAUACCGCAUAAGCGCACAGAGCUGCAUGGCUCAGUGUGAAAAACUCCGGUGGUAUAAGAUGGACCCGCGUUGGAUUAGCUUGUUGGUGGGGUAACGGCCCACCAAGGCGACGAUCCAUAGCCGGCCUGAGAGGGUGAACGGCCACAUUGGGACUGAGACACGGCCCAGACUCCUACGGGAGGCAGCAUG